ensembl:lncRNA
AAAGGAGAAAAUGGAAGAGCACAAAGGCAGCAAGGAAUGAAAGGGAUUUGCAACAGUUCAGCUGGAAUUCCAUCACUUCCACUAGCUUUGUUCAUAGUAAUGCUUCCUAAGGAUGACUUCACACUCCAGGAUGUCUGGCUCUAGGGUCAAAUCCUGAUUAAAGCAGCCAGACUGUGGUCAGUGAACACAGCCCCUUUCGGGGCCCAUCGCCUCCUCAGCACUGCAUUCGUCUUGACUCUGAGGUUUUGGUUUCUGGUCCUCGUUCCCCGUCUGAGUUUCCCCCUGAGUGACCCUGCUGUUAACAUUAGGGGUUAAGCUGAGAUGAAAGGCCUCAUCUAAU